ACGGAUUAAAGCCACGUUCUCUGAUAGAUAACGUUAAUGUAGAUCUUUUUGAAGUAGCAUUUGCCAUUCAUUUUAUUUACUCGAAAAUAAUUUAUAAGCCACAAACCGUCUUAAAAAAACACUUUAACUCGAUUGAAUGUUCUAUCGACUUUGAAUUGAAAAAUCUCUUUUAAUAACGUUGUGAUUCGUAACUAGACGAAACGAAAAAGCGAUAUUAAAUACAGAAACAGUUACAUCAGGAGGAUUUAGCUGGGAGGUCCAACUUUUCGCAGAAGAAGAAGGCUCUGCCCCUGGAAUUGCUGAAGUCCGUGGGCGACGGUAACCACUCAUCAUGCUCGUAUGCCCGUCUGCCUACAAGGAUAUAAAAAAAAGAGGAAGAGUCCAGCGGUAAUUAGAACUUCGGAGAUAUUUUCCGGAAUGCUAUCAAAAACAUACGCUAGGUUGCAUGGGAUUUGUUUAAAUAAACUGCCAGAUUCACAUACAUAUAUAUUUAGUCACUUAGUAGUCAAAAUGAUCUCGCGCUGCGCAUCGCAACAGCAUUACAAAUAAUAUUUAAAGUAUAUAAUUUGGGCAUUUACUAAGCUGACGUAAAUUCAACAUGAAUCUGCACUCCAACUAAGACUUCAUAAUUAACACUUUGAGAUGAAACAUUUUAACUAUAUGAAAAACUAUUUGGAGCUUUCUGAGUUGCCAAAUAAAUCAUUCAUUACAAAGAUUAAAAUUCUUUGAAAUUCAUUAAUAAAGUUUACCUUUUUUUUAUUUAUUGCUUAGAUGGGUGGACGAGCUCACAGCCCACCUGGUGCUAAGCGGUUACUGGAGCCCAUAGACAUUUACAACGUAAAUACGCCACCCACCUCGAGAUAUAAGUUCUAAGGUCUCAGUAUAGUUACAACGGCUACCCCACCCUUCGAACCGAAACGCAUUACUGCUUAACGGCGGAAAUAGGCGGGGUGGUGGUACCUACCCGUGCGGACUCCCAAGAGGUCCUACCACCAGUACCUACCACCACCUUGAUGAACAAACUCACAGUCGACUGUUAAGAAGAUAUUUUAGACUUUUGUUUUAGGCAGUGCAUAGACUAAUGCGUAAGAUACUACAAAAAAUUCUAAUGAUGGGUUUAUUUCGACACGACAAGCAUUUGGCCUGAUCAAUUCCAAGAAUUCGCCAAUGCGGUGGGCCGACCUAAUUAAAAUAACAGUGGGAGAUCCCCUAAAUGCGUGCCGUAGAAUGGCCUUGAGCAGGUAGAGAUGGCGGGACAUCGUGAGACGCGUCAAUUCUCCACAUGAUGACCAGGACCACUGUCUAGAGUGACACGAUUAAGAAGCAAAAGAUUCCAGGAAUUACUCCUAUAUGAACUCGCGUGUAGCUCUUGUCUCAUUUUUGAAGUCUGGAACUCAAUAUAACUUUGAAUAAAAUAAAUAAAUAAGACAUACUCGUACUGUAAAUAAACAGCUAUCUAUAUCGCUACCAUUGAUCCGUUGAAACAAAUUAUAGCAAUUUUUUUUAUUGCACAGAUGGGUGGACGAGCUCACAGUCCACCUGGUGUUAAGUGGUUACCGGACCCCAUAGACAUUUACAACGUAUAUGCGCCACCCACCUUGACAUAUAAGCUCUAAGGUCUCAAGUAUAGUUACAACGGCUGCCCCGCCCUUCAAACCGAAGCGAGUUAGUGCUUCACGGCAGAAAUAGGUUGGUGAUACCCACCCGUGCGGACUCACAAGAGGUCCUGCCCUACCACCAAAAUGCUGGCUUUGGAAUAGUAAACUCGUCCGAUUUUACAUCUCUACUGGCGUUAAAUAUAUGCGGAUACAUAACAACGAGUCGUUAAUACGAAUUGUAUUUAUAUUUACUGGCUCUGAGCAAUGCCCAGCGUUAAGUUUAAGUUAAAUAUCUUACAAAUUCUGUUCUACUGCCGGGAACGAGUUAGUUUAAUGUAGCGCUGACUUGGCUCAGUCGGAAUUGUAUUAAAGUUGUGUAUAUUAAAUUUAAAUAAAAGUUUGUAGGUAUUUUUUCUUCGAUUUUUAUUGCAUAAACCGACGAGUAAGCUCACAGCCCACCCGAGGCUAACUGGUUACUGGAGUCUAUAGACGUGACACCUUGUAAACUAAAUCAAAUCAAAUCAAAUCAAAAAAAAUUUUAUUCAACAUAAGUGAAAGUACAUACUUGUUGAACGUCAAAAGAACUACCGGUAGUUAAAGGUCCAAUGUCGCAAUUGCAUUGUAAUUAUGCGAAUUAGUUUUUUUUUUUACACGAUGAUGUUUCUUUGCCGUAAACUAUAAUUCAUAUAUCAGUUAAGUAUACGAGUAUUUCAUUAAAACCUGCAGUAACCAUUUAACACCAGGUGGGCUGUGAGCUCGUCCACCCAUCUAAGCAAUAAAAAAAAUCAUUGCACAAAUUUUUUCCUACAAUUUUCGAUUAAAAACAUAAUAGUAAAAUUGUUAUAGUUUAAUUAGUAUUUUUUUUUGUCAAGAAAACAAGAAGUGAAUGGAUCUACAGAUGGAUAGACGGAACAUCUAGAUGAUGAACAAAGAUGUACUUCUAUCAUCAUAAAAUUAUAGAACCAUUUUUAUUUUACAAUUAUACCUAAUAUAAAUUUAACUCAGUCAGAGAGUUUGAAGUAACCUAAGAAAGCGGUACAACUGAAUUUGGUAGGUACGCGGAACUGCAAGUAGAAAAAACUGCAUAUUAAAAAGCGCUUAAAUACACGAAUAACAUAUAAAGCACUUUUAUUUAUCGAACAUUCGAGCAAAAAUCUAACAAUCUCAAUCUCACUAGUAUAAAGUCUUCAAAUCUGCUUUAAGCGCGUUCAGGCGAUAUCUUCAUUCAUUUUAAAUCUUUUCCAAAAAAAAGCAUCGACCAACGCUUUUUCAUGAAUAAUUUUAACAUUUAACGAGUAGCAUGUUAUUAGAUUCGCUUUAAGCCGUUUAUCUGGGCACAACGGUCGGCUUAUAGGCGACGUUAGACAAGUUCUUGAACUAAACUGUAUUCAACGCAAGUUAAUGGCACCGAGGCGACCAGGAGACGCCAACUAUAGAACUCUGUACUUUGUAACAGUACUAAAGCUAAGACUAACUGAAAUGAGACAUUCACGGCCAAAUGGAUUGCUAUUGAAUAAUGGUACAAUGUAAAUGAAAAGUUGAAAACCUUGACAUAUUUGGCGAUUCCCUUCCAAUAUUUAAGAACAAAAUUAUAAAAAGUUGUUGUUGAACCUCAGCCUCAGCCUCGGUCUGAGUACUCGGGUAUUACUGCCCUUGUUGUCUUUCUUUUGUUUUUAAUUUUUCAUUAUUAUUAAUA